rnacentral:lncRNA from 1 species
GUGUAGACAAAGUCCACAGCAGAAUCACAGUGUAGACGACUCUGCUGGGGGCUGGGGACCUGGCUGGGCUGAGGACCUGACUUCCUUGCCAGCCACAGGGCCUCUGUAAAGGCCUGCCUCGCGCAGGUGUUGAAGUUUAGGGACACCUGCCUGUCAGAGGCAUUUGAAGAAGAGCAACUCCGUCUUGAAUUUCCCGGAAAUCUCAUGAAUAAUCCACCCCUUCUUUCGCAUAUAAUCAAGAACUAACCAUAAAAAUGGGCAGGCAGCAGCCCUCUAGGCUGCUCUGCCUACGGAGUAGCCAUUCUUUAUUCCUUUACUUUCCUAAUAAACUUGCUUUCCCUUUAUGGAUUAGCCUCGAAUUGUUUCUUGAGCGAGGUCCAAGUACCCUCUUUUGGGGUCUGGAUCGGGACCCCUGUCCAGUAGCACUCCCUCCAUCUUGUCUGCUGAGGAGGAAACUAGACCUGGGAACCGACCAGGGUUGCAGGGCCCAGGGCCCGAGGGCAUCGUUCAUACCCUGGGCUGGUGGCUAUGGAACUAAUAAAGUCCU